UACGUAGGGUGCGAGCGUUGUCCGGAAUUAUUGGGCGUAAAGAGCUCGUAGGCGGUCUGUCGCGUCGAUCGUGAAAACUUGGGGCUUAACCCUGAGCUUGCGGUCGAUACGGGCAUGACUGGAGUUCGGCAGGGGAGACUGGAAUUCCUGGUGUAGCGGUGAAAUGCGUAGAUAUCAGGAGGAACACCGGUGGCGAAGGCGGGUCUCUGGGCAGUAACUGACGCUGAGGAGCGAAAGCGUGGGGAGCGAACAGG
rnacentral:rRNA from 1 species